rnacentral:misc_RNA from 1 species
GCGCAUUGCUAAAUAUGCUUUUGAGUAUGCUUACCUGAAUAACAGAAAGAAAGUUACAGCUGUGCACAAAGCAAAUAUCAUGAAGCUUGCAGAUGGUCUAUUUCUAGAAUCUUGUCGAGAGGUUGCCAGAAAGUAUCCUGGAAUUAAGUACAAUGAAGUUAUUGUCGACAACUGCUGCAUGCAACUUGUCUCAAAGCCUGAGCAAUUUGAUGUU